rnacentral:rRNA from 1 species
CAUAGGUUAAUGAGGCGAACCGGGGGAACUGAAACAUCUAAGUACCCCGAGGAAAAGAAAUCAACCGAGAUUCCCCCAGUAGCGGCGAGCGAACGGGGAGGAGCCCAGAGCCUGAAUCAGUGUGUGUGUUAGUGGAAGCGUCUGGAAAGGCGCGCGAUACAGGGUGACAGCCCCGUACACAAAAAUGCACAUGCUGUGAGCUCGAUGAGUAGGGCGGGACACGUGGUAUCCUGUCUGAAUAUGGGGGGACCAUCCUCCAAGGCUAAAUACUCCUGACUGACCGAUAGUGAACCAGUACCGUGAGGGAAAGGCGAAAAGAACCCCGGCGAGGGGAGUGAAAAAGAACCUGAAACCGUGUACGUACAAGCAGUGGGAGCACGCUUAGGCGUGUGACUGCGUACCUUUUGUAUAAUGGGUCAGCGACUUAUAUUCUGUAGCAAGGUUAACCGAAUAGGGGAGCCGAAGGGAAACCGAGUCUUAACUGGGCGUUAAGUUGCAGGGUAUAGACCCGAAACCCGGUGAUCUAGCCAUGGGCAGGUUGAAGGUUGGGUAACACUAACUGGAGGACCGAACCGACUAAUGUUGAAAAAUUAGCGGAUGACUUGUGGCUGGGGGUGAAAGGCCAAUCAAACCGGGAGAUAGCUGGUUCUCCCCGAAAGCUAUUUAGGUAGCGCCUCGUGAAUUCAUCUCCGGGGGUAGAGCACUGUUUCGGCAAGGGGGUCAUCCCGACUUACCAACCCGAUGCAAACUGCGAAUACCGGAGAAUGUUAUCACGGGAGACACACGGCGGGUGCUAACGUCCGUCGUGAAGAGGGAAACAACCCAGACCGCCAGCUAAGGUCCCAAAGUCAUGGUUAAGUGGGAAACGAUGUGGGAAGGCCCAGACAGCCAGGAUGUUGGCUUAGAAGCAGCCAUCAUUUAAAGAAAGCGUAAUAGCUCACUGGUCGAGUCGGCCUGCGCGGAAGAUGUAACGGGGCUAAACCAUGCACCGAAGCUGCGGCAGCGACGCU